AUGACAUCCAAAUGCUCCCUUAUAAGUAUGAGCCUCAUCAAUGACUACAAACCGAAGAUUUGAUAAUAUUCUACUAAAUUGUCUGUGGUGUGGCAGGAUUGAUACAUGUAGCAUAUCUGGAUUUGUGAUUAACAGCCUAGCAUUAUCACGCAACAAUAUCCUGUCAGCCUGUGAUGUAUCCCCAUCAUAAACACCAAUGUUAAGGUUAUGAUUAAACCCUUUCAUCAUGACGAGCAAGCUUCUGAGUUGAUCUUG
rnacentral:misc_RNA from 1 species